ACUUUGCCUUGCCUAAUUGCUCUGGCCAGGACUUCCAAUAUUAUGUUGAAUAGGAGUGGUGGGAGAGGGUAUCCUUAUUUUCUGCCAGUUUUCAAGAGAGGAAUGCUUAUAGUUUUUGC